AGCGUUUCAGCGAAAGUGAGCAAAUUAUUCAAAAGCCAAAAAAGGAAAAGGCGUUUAGUUUACAAUUCAAUUCAGCAAUGAAAGCUGUUCUGAUCAGAACCGGCUCGGUCCCGUUACUAUCGCCCGGUUCGCCCCGAGUCGCACUCUACCUGAACGACACCGUUUCCGGCGUAUUCACCGGCGAGAAGAGCUCCGUCACUUCCCCGAAGGUUUCUCUCCAUUUGGACACCAAUGGCCGGAGAGACGGGGGGAUGCGGAGGGCGUAUUCGGAAACCGACAUGAUCCGAUCCGAAUCCGGGUUUUCCAGACUGAGCGGAAUCGGAUCUCGAUCAUUUCCGUCCAUAAUACCCGAGGAAGAGUACGUAUCGGAUAGCGAACUCGGAUCGCCGGGUUUGAAGACAAACGGCGCUGGAGUAUGGCCGGAAAUUGGAAUUCCGGUGGAGGAGCUAGAGUUCUCUGGCGGAGGAGGAUUCGAUAAAGGAAGGAAAUCCGGUGGCGGAGAUAACGGAAUCGGAAACGACGAAGAGAAGAGCAAGAUGGCAGCAUAUUAUUUAGAAAUGCUCAAGUCGAAUCCUGGUGAUUCACUUUUGCUUCGAAACUACGCUAAAUUCCUGCACGAGGUGGUGAAAGAUACAGUGAGAGCGGAAGAGUAUUAUGGAAGAGCUAUAUUAGCGAGUCCUGGAGAUGGAGAAUUAUUGUCUCUGUACGGAAGGCUUAUAUGGGAGACACAGAGAGAUGGAGAUAGAGCCAAAUCUUACUUCGAUCAAGCCGUUUAUGCCUCCCCUCAUGAUUGCAUGGUUUUGGGAUCAUAUGCGCAGUUUAUGUGGGAAGCGGAGGAGGAGGAGGAGGAGGAGGAUGAAAAUGAAAAUGAAGAAAGCGAAGAUACAAGUGGAUCGUCGCGGACACCUGCUCUGGUUGCUGGUUUUUGAGGAUGUUUACCAGUAACCAUGGUCGAUAAUAUGAUCCUGUUGACAAGGAUUACAGCUGUGGCAUGCAAUGCAUGAAAUCCCCAAGCCAAUGUUGAUUUGAGAAAAUAUUUGGGCGUUCCACUCUUUACAAAACGGAGGCCCCCGCAGGCGGCUUUACCAAUUCCUAGUAGACGAAAUUGCUCCCGUGUUAGGGCAAUCCACACACAGUAAAUCUGCAAACAAUUCCCAGUAAUUGGAUGGAUGUUUGGGGUCUUUUUGUAGUUUUGAUUUGCUUUGUGUUUUGAUAAGUUAGGGGAUAUAUAGUUUCGAGUUCUUUUUAGGGUAAUCGAGUUGAGUACUACUUAUGCCAAUGGAUCACCUGUUAGUCAUUUAUAAUAUAAUGAGUGAUAUAAAAAAUAAUAUAUUAAUGAGAAUAAUAAUUUUCUCAUAUGUGUAAAUAGUUUUAAGCUAUAUGAAAUAAAUUGGAGAAGAUAUGUUGGGUUAUAA